AUAACAUUCUUAAAGAAGCAUACAUAGUAAUCAGAGUGAGAAAUUAAAUCCAACUUAAGAAUUCAAGUCUUUCCGAAUAUAUUUGAGGAUGCCGCCUCGUCAAGAUAUCAUCAUUCCACCUGAUCGAGCCCCAGAGAAAGAGGCUAGGCCUCCGCCCCCGCCGACCUCAGGCCGCCUGCAAAGACCCCCACACGACAACCCAGGAACCUAUAUAGUGCGCAAUGGAAACACCCGUUCUAACUUUCAAAAUGCUGUCAACCAAAGAAAUAAUUCUGUAAAUUAAGUACGCUACCGUAAAAAAUAAAUCUGUGCUGCCAAUAGAAGAAAUAUUAUAUUCGUGUAUGGCAAAAUUACAAUUUUAUUCACCAAAGUACAUUGUGUAGGCUUAGGGCAUGUUACGUCCCGGAUAGUAUUUAGGGAAUCUAUUUUAUACUUUUACAAUAAAUUAAAGUUAAA
rnacentral:lncRNA from 1 species